GUCGCGCAGAGAGACACAGCAUCUCCAAGGCUAAGUAGUUCUUCUUAGAACUACAAAGAACUACAAAGAACUAGCAGGGCUCUUAAAUAGAUUGGCUUUAACUCCACGGCAGGGAUCCUGAGGAACUCACCGUCUCUGAGAGUGAAGAGUGCAGUCACGUCUGUUAAUGUACCAGGGGUGUCGGCCUUGCCAAAAUUUCCAAGGAGCAAUUAUCCUCCCAGUUGGUACCACCUUGCCCACCCCAUCUGACUCAUGUACUAACUUGAAGAUGCUAGGCGUGGAAGUGGUCUCAGGGAUCAGCGGUGGGCCCUUCUGCGGGUCCUGGAUGGACCCUUGACAGCUGCGCAACAAUGCUGACCCCUGACAGUGGCCCUGGUGAGGCUGAGAGAUGUUCACAUGGCAUGCAUGGAUGAGCUAAGAUCUGAAGCCAAGUCUUCCUUCUAUCCACAUUAUUAUCCGCCCGGCGUUUGCCCUUUAAAAUCUUUUUUGUAAAAACACUCUUGGAUGCUGUUCUUGCUUUGUACACCACCCUGAGUCUGUGGAUUGGGUGAUAUAUUAAAUCAAUCAAUCAAUCGAUCGAUCAAUACUGUUUAAUUGUUGUUUUAAAGUGUUUUUAAAUUGUUAAUCGUUGUUAUAUUGUUUUUAAUUAAUGUUUUAGCUCUUUACUGUUUUAAUGGUUUGUUUUAAUUGUAGACUGCCCUGAGCCAUUUUGGAAGGGCGGUAUAAAAAUCAAAUCAAUUAAUUAAUAAUAAAUAAAUAAAUAAUAAUA